rnacentral:rRNA from 1 species
GUACACUCCUGCGGGAGGCAGCAGUGGGGAAUAUUGGACAAUGGGCGCAAGCCUGAUCCAGCCAUGCCGCGUGAGUGAUGAAGGCCCUAGGGUUGUAAAGCUCUUUCACCGGAGAAGAUAAUGACGGUAUCCGGAGAAGAAGCCCCGGCUAACUUCGUGCCAGCAGCCGCGGUAAUACGAAGGGGGCUAGCGUUGUUCGGAAUUACUGGGCGUAAAGCGCACGUAGGCGGAUCGAUCAGUCAGGGGUGAAAUCCCAGGGCUCAACCCUGGAACUGCCUUUGAUACUGUCGAUCUGGAGUAUGGAAGAGGUGAGUGGAAUUCCGAGUGUAGAGGUGAAAUUCGUAGAUAUUCGGAGGAACACCAGUGGCGAAGGCGGCUCACUGGUCCAUUACUGACGCUGAGGUGCGAAAGCGUGGGGAGCAAACAGGAUUAGAUACCCGAGUAGUCCCAUG